AUCGCUUCUCAGCCUUUUGGCUAAGAUCAAGUGUAGAAAGAAUUCUUAUAAUUUAAUUAGACAUAUUGACUAAAAAGAGAAAGCAAUUUCAAGUCUAU
ensembl:snRNA U2 U2 spliceosomal RNA